UCUCCUGGAAACGGGUGGUAAUGCCGGAUGUUCCACAUGAGCGCAUGCGAGUGUGGGAAAGGCUUUUUGCGGCAUGGGAUGGGGUCGCGUCCUAUCAGCUUGUUGGUGGGGUAACGGCCUACCAAGGCGUUGACGGGUAGCCGGCCUGAGAGGGCGACCGGCCACAUUGGGACUGAGAUACGGCCCAGACUCCUACGGGAGGCAGCAGUGGGGAAUAUUGCACAAUGGGCGCAAGCCUGAUGCAGCGACGCCGCGUGCGGGAUGGAGGCCUUCGGGUUGUAAACCGCUUUUGUUCAAGGGCAAGGCACGGUUUCGGCCGUGUUGAGUGGAUUGUUCGAAUAAGCACCGGCUAACUACGUGCCAGCAGCCGCGGUAAUACGUAGGGUGCAAGCGUUAUCCGGAUUUAUUGGGCGUAAAGGGCUCGUAGGCGGUUCGUCGCGUCCGGUGUGAAAGUCCAUCGCUUUAACGGUGGAUCCGCGCCGGGUACGGGCGGGCUUGAGUGCGGUAGGGGAGAACUGGGAAUUCCCCGGUGGUAACGGGUGGAAUGGUGUAGAAUAAUCGGGAAAGAAACACCCA
rnacentral:rRNA from 1 species